UUAAUUCGAAGCAACGCGAAGANCCUUACCAGGUCUUGACAUACUCGUGCUAUUCCUAGAGAUAGGAAGUUCCUUUCGGGACACGGGAUACAGGUGGUGCAUGGUUGUCGUCAGCUCGUGUCGUGAGAUGUUGGGUUAAGUCCCGCAACGAGCGCAACCCUUAUUGUUAGUUGCCAUCAUUAAGUUGGGCACUCUAGCGAGACUGCCGGUAAUAAACCGGAGGAAGGUGGGGAUGACGUCAAAUCAUCAUGCCCCUUAUGACCUGGGCUACACACGUGCUACAAUGGUUGGUACAACGAGUCGCAAGACAGUGAUGUCAAGCUAAUCUCUUAAAGCCAAUCUCAGUUCGGAUUGUAGGCUGCAACUCGCCUACAUGAAGUCGGAAUCGCUAGUAAUCGCGGAUCAGCACGCCGCGGUGAAUACGUUCCCGGGCCUUGUACACACCGCCCGUCACACCACGAGAGUUUGUAAUACCCAAAGCCGGUGAGCUAACCUUUUAGGAGGCAGCCGUCUAAGGUAGGAUAGAUGAUUGGGGUGAAGUC
rnacentral:rRNA from 1 species